AUGGUGAAACAAGUUCUGUUGGUC
rnacentral:siRNA from 1 species